GUGCCUGCUUCAGCCACAUUAAACCAAAACUGGAACAAUACAGAAAAGAUUAGCAUGGCCUUACGAAAAGAUGACACACAAAUUCAUGAAGCAUUCUGUAUAACA